AGGGAAUAUUGGGCAAUGGAGGCAACUCUGACCCAGCCAUGCCGCGUGCAGGAAGACGGCCCUCUGGGUUGUAAACUGCUUUUGAAUGGGAAGAAUGUGAUGUUUGCGAGCAUUAAUGACGGUACCAUUAGAAUAAGCCACGGCUAACUACGUGCCAGCAGCCGCGGUAAUACGUAGGUGGCGAGCGUUAUCCGGAUUUAUUGGGUUUAAAGGGUGCGUAGGCGGCUUAAUAAGUCGGUGGUAAAAGGUAGCAGCUUAACUGUUUUACAUGCCAUCGAUACUGUUGAGCUUGAGUUAUUUGGAGGCAGCUAGAAUUUCCGGUGUAGCGGUGAAAUGCAUAGAUACCGGAAGGAAUACCGAUUGCGAAGGCAGGUUGCUACGAAUAUACUGACGCUGAUGCACGAAAGCGUGGGGAUCAAAC
rnacentral:rRNA from 1 species